GCCUAAUACAUGCAAGUCGAGCGAACUGAUUAGAAGCUUGCUUCUAUGACGUUAGCGGCGGACGGGUGAGUAACACGUGGGCAACCUGCCUGUAAGACUGGGAUAACUUCGGGAAACCGAAGCUAAUACCGGAUAGGAUCUUCUCCUUCAUGGGAGAUGAUUGAAAGAUGGUUUCGGCUAUCACUUACAGAUGGGCCCGCGGUGCAUUAGCUAGUUGGUGAGGUAACGGCUCACCAAGGCAACGAUGCAUAGCCGACCUGAGAGGGUGAUCGGCCACACUGGGACUGAGACACGGCCCAGACUCCUACGGGAGGCAGCAGUAGGGAAUCUUCCGCAAUGGACGAAAGUCUGACGGAGCAACGCCGCGUGAGUGAUGAAGGCUUUCGGGUCGUAAAACUCUGUUGUUAGGGAAGAACAAGUACGAGAGUAACUGCUCGUACCUUGACGGUACCUAACCAGAAAGCCACGGCUAACUACGUGCCAGCAGCCGCGGUAAUACGUAGGUGGCAAGCGUUAUCCGGAAUUAUUGGGCGUAAAGCGCGCGCAGGCGGUUUCUUAAGUCUGAUGUGAAAGCCCACGGCUCAACCGUGGAGGGUCAUUGGAAACUGGGGAACUUGAGUGCAGAAGAGAAAAGCGGAAUUCCACGUGUAGCGGUGAAAUGCGUAGAGAUGUGGAGGAACACCAGUGGCGAAGGCGGCUUUUUGGUCUGUAACUGACGCUGAGGCGCGAAAGCGUGGGGAGCAAACAGGAUUAG
rnacentral:rRNA from 2 species